rnacentral:rRNA from 1 species
CCUACCGAGGCAGCAGUGGGGAAUAUUGCACAAUGGGCGCAAGCCUGAUGCAGCAACGCCGCGUGCGGGAUGACGGCCUUCGGGUUGUAAACCGCUUUUAGUAAGGAAGAAGGGGAGCUUGCUCCUUGACGGUACUUGCAGAAAAAGGACCGGCUAACUACGUGCCAGCAGCCGCGGUAAUACGUAGGGUCCGAGCGUUGUCCGGAAUUAUUGGGCGUAAAGAGCUCGUAGGCGGUUUGUCGCGUCUGCUGUGAAAUCCCGAGGCUCAACCUCGGGCCUGCAGUGGGUACGGGCAGACUGGAGUGCGGUAGGGGAGAAUGGAAUUCCUGGUGUAGCGGUGGAAUGCGCAGAUAUCAGGAGGAACACCGAUGGCGAAGGCAGUUCUCUGGGCCGUAACUGACGCUGAGGAGCGAAAGCGUGGGGAGCGAACAGGAUUAGAUACCCUGGUAGUCCACGCCGUAAACGUUGGGCGCUAGAUGUGGGGACCUUUCCCACGGUUUCCGUGUCGUAGCUAACGCAUUAAGCGCCCCGCUGGGAGUACGCCGCAGGC